ACGGGGGGGGCAAGCGUUGUUCGGAAUUACUGGGCGUAAAGGGAGCGUAGGCGGCCAUGUAAGUGAGGUGUUAAAUCCCCCGGCUCAACCGGGGACCUGCACCUCAUACUGCACGGCUUGAGUACAUCAGAGGAGACUGGAAUUCCCGGUGUAGCGGUGAAAUGCGUAGAUAUCGGGAGGAACAUCCGUGGCGAAGGCGGCCAUCUGGAUCAACACUGACGCUGAGGCACGAAAGCGUGGGGAGCAAACAGGA
rnacentral:rRNA from 1 species